UUAAGUUAUUAAGGGCGCACGGUGGAUGCCUUGGCACUAGAAGCCGAUGAAGGACGUUACUAACGACGAUAUGCUUUGGGGAGCUGUAAGUAAGCUUUGAUCCAGAGAUUUCCGAAUGGGGAAACCCAGCAUGAGUUAUGUCAUGUUAUCGAUAUGUGAAUACAUAGCAUAUCAGAAGGCACACCCGGAGAACUGAAACAUCUUAGUACCCGGAGGAAGAAAAAGAAAAUUCGAUUCCCUUAGUAGCGGCGAGCGAAACGGGAAGAGCCCAAACCAACAAGCUUGCUUGUUGGGGUUGUAGGACACUCUAUACGGAGUUACAAAGGACGACAUUAGACGAAUCAUCUGGAAAGAUGAAUCAAAGAAGGUAAUAAUCCUGUAGUCGAAAAUGUUGUCUCUCUUGAGUGGAUCCUGAGUACGACGGAGCACGUGAAAUUCCGUCGGAAUCUGGGAGGACCAUCUCCUAAGGCUAAAUACUCUCUAGUGACCGAUAGUGAACCAGUACCGUGAGGGAAAGGUGAAAAGCACCCCGGAAGGGGAGUGAAAUAGAACCUGAAACCGUGUGCUUACAAGUAGUCAGAGCCCGUUAAUGGGUGAUGGCGUGCCUUUUGUAGAAUGAACCGGCGAGUUACGAUUUGAUGCAAGGUUAAGCAGUAAAUGUGGAGCCGUAGCGAAAGCGAGUCUGAAUAGGGCGUUUAGUAUUUGGUCGUAGACCCGAAACCAGGUGAUCUACCCUUGGUCAGGUUGAAGUUCAGGUAACACUGAAUGGAGGACCGAACCGACUUACGUUGAAAAGUGAGCGGAUGAACUGAGGGUAGCGGAGAAAUUCCAAUCGAACCUGGAGAUAGCUGGUUCUCUCCGAAAUAGCUUUAGGGCUAGCCUCAAGUGAUGAUUAUUGGAGGUAGAGCACUGUUUGGACGAGGGGCCCCUCUCGGGUUACCGAAUUCAGACAAACUCCGAAUGCCAAUUAAUUUAACUUGGGAGUCAGAACAUGGGUGAUAAGGUCCGUGUUCGAAAGGGAAACAGCCCAGACCACCAGCUAAGGUCCCAAAAUAUAUGUUAAGUGGAAAAGGAUGUGGCGUUGCCCAGACAACUAGGAUGUUGGCUUAGAAGCAGCCAUCAUUUAAAGAGUGCGUAAUAGCUCACUAGUCGAGUGACACUGCGCCGAAAAUGUACCGGGGCUAAACAUAUUACCGAAGCUGUGGAUUGUCCUUUGGACAAUGGUAGGAGAGCGUUCUAAGGGCGUUGAAGCAUGAUCGUAAGGACAUGUGGAGCGCUUAGAAGUGAGAAUGCCGGUGUGAGUAGCGAAAGACGGGUGAGAAUCCCGUCCACCGAUUGACUAAGGUUUCCAGAGGAAGGCUCGUCCGCUCUGGGUUAGUCGGGUCCUAAGCUGAGGCCGACAGGCGUAGGCGAUGGAUAACAGGUUGAUAUUCCUGUACCACCUAUAAUCGUUUUAAUCGAUGGGGGGACGCAGUAGGAUAGGCGAAGCGUGCGAUUGGAUUGCACGUCUAAGCAGUAAGGCUGAGUAUUAGGCAAAUCCGGUACUCGUUAAGGCUGAGCUGUGAUGGGGAGAAGACAUUGUGUCUUCGAGUCGUUGAUUUCACACUGCCGAGAAAAGCCUCUAGAUAGAAAAUAGGUGCCCGUACCGCAAACCGACACAGGUAGUCAAGAUGAGAAUUCUAAGGUGAGCGAGCGAACUCUCGUUAAGGAACUCGGCAAAAUGACCCCGUAACUUCGGGAGAAGGGGUGCUCUUUAGGGUUAACGCCCAGAAGAGCCGCAGUGAAUAGGCCCAAGCGACUGUUUAUCAAAAACACAGGUCUCUGCUAAACCGUAAGGUGAUGUAUAGGGGCUGACGCCUGCCCGGUGCUGGAAGGUUAAGAGGAGUGGUUAGCUUCUGCGAAGCUACGAAUCGAAGCCCCAGUAAACGGCGGCCGUAACUAUAACGGUCCUAAGGUAGCGAAAUUCCUUGUCGGGUAAGUUCCGACCCGCACGAAAGGCGUAACGAUUUGGGCACUGUCUCAACGAGAGACUCGGUGAAAUCAUAGUACCUGUGAAGAUGCAGGUUACCCGCGACAGGACGGAAAGACCCCGUGGAGCUUUACUGUAGCCUGAUAUUGAAAUUCGGCACAGCUUGUACAGGAUAGGUAGGAGCCUUUGAAACGUGAGCGCUAGCUUACGUGGAGGCGCUGGUGGGAUACUACCCUAGCUGUGUUGGCUUUCUAACCCGCACCACUUAUCGUGGUGGGAGACAGUGUCAGGCGGGCAGUUUGACUGGGGCGGUCGCCUCCUAAAAGGUAACGGAGGCGCUCAAAGGUUCCCUCAGAAUGGUUGGAAAUCAUUCAUAGAGUGUAAAGGCAUAAGGGAGCUUGACUGCGAGACCUACAAGUCGAGCAGGGUCGAAAGACGGACUUAGUGAUCCGGUGGUUCCGCAUGGAAGGGCCAUCGCUCAACGGAUAAAAGCUACCCCGGGGAUAACAGGCUUAUCUCCCCCAAGAGUUCACAUCGACGGGGAGGUUUGGCACCUCGAUGUCGGCUCAUCGCAUCCUGGGGCUGUAGUCGGUCCCAAGGGUUGGGCUGUUCGCCCAUUAAAGCGGUACGCGAGCUGGGUUCAGAACGUCGUGAGACAGUUCGGUCCCUAUCCGUCGUGGGCGUAGGAAAUUUGAGAGGAGCUGUCCUUAGUACGAGAGGACCGGGAUGGACAUACCUCUGGUGUACCAGUUGUCGUGCCAACGGCAUAGCUGGGUAGCUAUGUGUGGACGGGAUAAGUGCUGAAAGCAUCUAAGCAUGAAGCCCCCCUCAAGAUGAGAUUUCCCAACUUCGGUUAUAAGAUCCCUCAAAGAUGAUGAGGUUAAUAGGUUCGAGGUGGAAGCAUGGUGACAUGUGGAGCUGACGAAUACUAAUCGAUCGAAGACUUAAUCAA
rnacentral:rRNA from 5 species